rnacentral:rRNA from 2 species
GUGACUGCGUACCUUUUGUAUAAUGGGUCAGCGACUUAUAUUCUGUAGCAAGGUUAACCGAAUAGGGGAGCCGGAGGGAAACCGAGUCUUAAUUGGGCGUUAAGUUGCAGGGUAUAGACCCGAAACCCGGUGAUCUAGCCAUGGGCAGGUUGAAGGUUGGGUAACACUAACUGGAGGACCGAACCGACUAAUGUUGAAAAAUUAGCGGAUGACCUGUGGCUGGGGGUGAAAGGCCAAUCAAACCGGGAGAUAGCUGGUUCUCCCCGAAAGCUAUUUAGGUAGCGCCUCGUGAAUUCAUCUCCGGGGGUAGAGCACUGUUUCGGCUAGGGGGCCAUCCCGGCUUACCAACCCGAUGCAAACUGCGAAUACCGGAGAAUGUUAUCACGGGAGACACACGGCGGGUGCUAACGUCCGUCGUGAAGAGGGAAACAACCCAGACCGCCAGCUAAGGUCCCAAAGUCAUGGUUAAGUGGGAAACGAUGUGGGAAGGCCCAGACAGCCAGGAUGUUGGCUUAGAAGCAGCCAUCAUUUAAAGAAAGCGUAAUAGCUCACUGGUCGAGUCGGCCUGCGCGGAAGAUGUAACGGGGCUAAACCAUGCACCGAAGCUGCGGCAGCGACGCUGAUGCGUUGUUGGGUAGGGGAGCGUUCUGUAAGCCUGCGAAGGUGUGUCGUGAGGCAUGCUGGAGGUAUCAGAAGUGCGAAUGCUGACAUAAGUAACGAUAAAGCGGGUGAAAAGCCCGCUCGCCGGAAGACCAAGGGUUCCUGUCCAACGUUAAUCGGGGCAGGGUGAGUCGACCCCUAAGGCGAGGCCGAAAGGCGUAGUCGAUGGGAAACGGGUUAAUAUUCCCGUACUUGGUGUUACUGCGAAGGGGGGACGGAGAAGGCUAUGUUGGCCGGGCGACGGUUGUCCCGGUUUAAGCGUGUAGGUGUGUGUUCCAGGUAAAUCCGGUUCACUUUAACACUGAGGCGUGAUGACGAGGCACUACGGUGCUGAAGCAACAAAUGCCCUGCUUCCAGGAAAAGCCUCUAAGCAUCAGGUAACAUCAAAUCGUACCCCAAACCGACACAGGUGGUCAGGUAGAGAAUACCAAGGCGCUUGAGAGAACUCGGGUGAAGGAACUAGGCAAAAUGGUGCCGUAACUUCGGGAGAAGGCACGCUGACACGUAGGUGAAGUGAUUUACUCAUGGAGCUGAAGUCAGUCGAAGAUACCAGCUGGCUGCAACUGUUUAUUAAAAACACAGCACUGUGCAAACACGAAAGUGGACGUAUACGGUGUGACGCCUGCCCGGUGCCGGAAGGUUAAUUGAUGGGGUCAGCGCAAGCGAAGCUCCUGAUCGAAGCCCCGGUAAACGGCGGCCGUAACUAUAACGGUCCUAAGGUAGCGAAAUUCCUUGUCGGGUAAGUUCCGACCUGCACGAAUGGCGUAAUGAUGGCCAGGCUGUCUCCACCCGAGACUCAGUGAAAUUGAACUCGCUGUGAAGAUGCAGUGUACCCGCGGCAAGACGGAAAGACCCCGUGAACCUUUACUAUAGCUUGACACUGAACAUUGAGCCUUGAUGUGUAGGAUAGGUGGGAGGCUUUGAAGUGUGGACGCCAGUCUGCAUGGAGCCGGCCUUGAAAUACCACCCUUUAAUGUUUGAUGUUCUAACGUGGACCCGUGAUCCGGGUUGCGGACAGUGUCUGGUGGGUAGUUUGACUGGGGCGGUCUCCUCCUAAAGAGUAACGGAGGAGCACGAAGGUUGGCUAAUCCUGGUCGGACAUCAGGAGGUUAGUGCAAUGGCAUAAGCCAGCUUGACUGCGAGCGUGACGGCGCGAGCAGGUGCGAAAGCAGGUCAUAGUGAUCCGGUGGUUCUGAAUGGAAGGGCCAUCGCUCAACGGAUAAAAGGUACUCCGGGGAUAACAGGCUGAUACCGCCCAAGAGUUCAUAUCGACGGCGGUGUUUGGCACCUCGAUGUCGGCUCAUCACAUCCUGGGGCUGAAGUAGGUCCCAAGGGUAUGGCUGUUCGCCAUUUAAAGUGGUACGCGAGCUGGGUUUAGAACGUCGUGAGACAGUUCGGUCCCUAUCUGCCGUGGGCGCUGGAGAACUGAGGGGGGCUGCUCCUAGUACGAGAGGACCGGAGUGGACGCAUCACUGGUGUUCGGGUUGUCAUGCCAAUGGCACUGCCCGGUAGCUAAAUGCGGAAGAGAUAAGUGCUGAAAGCAUCUAAGCACGAAACUUGCCCCGAGAUGAGUUCUCCCUGAGACUUAGAGUCUCCUGAAGGAACGUUGAAGACGACGACGUUGAUAGGCCGGGUGUGUAAGCGCAGCGAUGCGUUGAGCUAACCGGUACUAAUGAACCGUGAGGCUUAACCUUACAACGCCGAAG